AGGCGGCUUUGUAAGACAGGUGUGAAAUCCCCGGGCUUAACCUGGGAACUGCGCUUGUGACUGCAAGGCUCGAGUGCGGCAGAGGGGGGUGGAAUUCCACGUGUAGCAGUGAAAUGCGUAGAGAUGUGGAGGAACACCGAUGGCGAAGGCAGCCCCCUGGGUCGACACUGACGCUCAUGCACGAAAGCGUGGGUAGCAAACAGGAUUAGAUACCCUGGUAGUCCACGCCCUAAACGAUGCCAACUAGGUGUUGGGGAAGGAGACUUCCUUAGUACCGUAGCUAACGCGUGAAGUUGGCCGCCUGGGGAGUACGGUCGCAAGAUUAAAACUCAAAGGAAUUGACGGGGACCCGCACAAGCGGUGGAUGAUGUGGAUUAAUUCGAUGCAACGCGAAAAACCUUACCUACCCUUGACAUGCCAGGAAUCCUGCUGAGAGGCGGGAGUGCUCGAAAGAGAGCCUGGACACAGGUGCUGCAUGGCUGUCGACAGCUCGUGUCGUGAGAUGUUGGGUUAAGUCCCGCAACGAGCGCAACCCUUGUCCUUAGUUGCCAGCACGUAAUGGUGGGAACUCUAAGGAGACCGCCGGUGACAAACCGGAGGAAGGUGGGGAUGACGUCAAGUCAUCAUGGCCCUUACGACCAGGGCUACACACGUACUACAAUGGUGGGGACAGAGGGCUGCAAACCCGCGAGGGUGAGCCAAUCCCAGAAACCCCAUCUCAGUCCGGAUUGGAGUCUGCAACUCGACUCCAUGAAGUCGGAAUCGCUAGUAA
rnacentral:rRNA from 1 species